rnacentral:rRNA from 1 species
GAGGCGGGCUGGACCUCUCGGGGUUACAGCCUUGCUGAAUUAUUCACCCUUGUCUUUUGCGUACUUCUUGUUUCCUUGGUGGGUUCGCCCACCACUAGGACAAACAUAAACCUUUUGUAAUUGCAAUCAGCGUCAGUAACAAAUUAAUAAUUACAACUUUCAACAACGGAUCUCUUGGUUCUGGCAUCGAUGAAGAACGCAGCGAAAUGCGAUAAGUAGUGUGAAUUGCAGAAUUCAGUGAAUCAUCGAAUCUUUGAACGCACAUUGCGCCCUUUGGUAUUCCAAAGGGCAUGCCUGUUCGAGCGUCAUUUGUACCCUCAAGCUUUGCUUGGUGUUGGGCGUCUUGUCUCUAGCUUUGCUGGAGACUCGCCUUAAAGUAAUUGGCAGCCGGCCUACUGGUUUCGGAGCGCAGCACAAGUCGCACUCUCUAUCAGCAAAGGUCUAGCAUCCACUAAGCCUUUUUUUCAACUUUUGACCUCGGAUCAGGUAGGGAUACCCGCUGAACUUAAGCAUAUCAAUAAGCGGAGGAA